GCUAAUACAUGCAAGUCGAGCGGACCGAAAAGAAGCUUGCUUCUAUUCGGUUAGCGGCGGACGGGUGAGUAACACGUGGGCAACCUGCCCGUAAGACCGGGAUAACUUCGGGAAACCGGAGCUAAUACCGGAUAACACGAAAGACCGCAUGGUCUUUCGUUGAAAGGCGGCGCAAGCUGUCACUUACGGAUGGGCCCGCGGCGCAUUAGCUAGUUGGUGAGGUAACGGCUCACCAAGGCGACGAUGCGUAGCCGACCUGAGAGGGUGAUCGGCCACACUGGGACUGAGACACGGCCCAGACUCCUACGGGAGGCAGCAGUAGGGAAUCUUCCGCAAUGGACGAAAGUCUGACGGAGCAACGCCGCGUGAGCGAAGAAGGUCUUCGGAUUGUAAAGCUCUGUUGUUAGGGAAGAACAAGUACCGCAGUAACUGGCGGUACCUUGACGGUACCUAACGAGAAAGCCACGGCUAACUACGUGCCAGCAGCCGCGGUAAUACGUAGGUGGCAAGCGUUGUCCGGAAUUAUUGGGCGUAAAGCGCGCGCAGGCGGUCCUUUAAGUCUGAUGUGAAAGCCCACGGCUCAACCGUGGAGGGUCAUUGGAAACUGGGGGACUUGAGUGCAGAAGAGGAGAGCGGAAUUCCACGUGUAGCGGUGAAAUGCGUAGAGAUGUGGAGGAACACCAGUGGCGAAGGCGGCUCUCUGGUCUGUAACUGACGCUGAGG
rnacentral:rRNA from 1 species